ensembl:snRNA U6 U6 spliceosomal RNA
GUGCUCUCUUCGGCAGCACAUGUACUAAAAUUGGAAAGAUACAGAGAAGAUCAUCAUGGCCUCUGCGCAAGGGUGACAUGCAAAUUCAUGAAGGUUCCAUAUUUUG